GUAGCAAGGUUAACCGAAUAGGGGAGCCGAAGGGAAACCGAGUCUUAACUGGGCGUUAAGUUGCAGGGUAUAGACCCGAAACCCGGUGAUCUAGCCAUGGGCAGGUUGAAGGUUGGGUAACACUAACUGGAGGACCGAACCGACUAAUGUUGAAAAAUUAGCGGAUGACUUGUGGCUGGGGGUGAAAGGCCAAUCAAACCGGGAGAUAGCUGGUUCUCCCCGAAAGCUAUUUAGGUAGCGCCUCGUGAAUUCAUCUCCGGGGGUAGAGCACUGUUUCGGCAAGGGGGUCAUCCCGACUUACCAACCCGAUGCAAACUGCGAAUACCGGAGAAUGUUAUCACGGGAGACACACGGCGGGUGCUAACGUCCGUCGUGAAGAGGGAAACAACCCAGACCGCCAGCUAAGGUCCCAAAGUCAUGGUUAAGUGGGAAACGAUGUGGGAAGGCCCAGACAGCCAGGAUGUUGGCUUAGAAGCAGCCAUCAUUUAAAGAAAGCGUAAUAGCUCACUGGUCGAGUCGGCCUGCGCGGAAGAUGUAACGGGGCUAAACCAUGCACCGAAGCUGCGGCAGCGACGCUUAUGCGUUGUUGGGUAGGGGAGCGUUCUGUAAGCCUGCGAAGGUGUGCUGUGAGGCAUGCUGGAGGUAUCAGAAGUGCGAAUGCUGACAUAAGUAACGAUAAAGCGGGUGAAAAGCCCGCUCGCCGGAAGACCAAGGGUUCCUGUCCAACGUUAAUCGGGGCAGGGUGAGUCGACCCCUAAGGCGAGGCCGAAAGGCGUAGUCGAUGGGAAACAGGUUAAUAUUCCUGUACUUGGUGUUACUGCGAAGGGGGGACGGAGAAGGCUAUGUUGGCCGGGCGACGGUUGUCCCGGUUUAAGCGUGUAGGCUGGUUUUCCAGGCAAAUCCGGAAAAUCAAGGCUGAGGCGUGAUGACGAGGCACUACGGUGCUGAAGCAACAAAUGCCCUGCUUCCAGGAAAAGCCUCUAAGCAUCAGGUAACAUCAAAUCGUACCCCAAACCGACACAGGUGGUCAGGUAGAGAAUACCAAGGCGCUUGAGAGAACUCGGGUGAAGGAACUAGGCAAAAUGGUGCCGUAACUUCGGGAGAAGGCACGCUGAUAUGUAGGUGAAGCGACUUGCUCGUGGAGCUGAAAUCAGUCGAAGAUACCAGCUGGCUGCAACUGUUUAUUAAAAACACAGCACUGUGCAAACACGAAAGUGGACGUAUACGGUGUGACGCCUGCCCGGUGCCGGAAGGUUAAUUGAUGGGGUCAGCGCAAGCGAAGCUCUUGAUCGAAGCCCCGGUAAACGGCGGCCGUAACUAUAACGGUCCUAAGGUAGCGAAAUUCCUUGUCGGGUAAGUUCCGACCUGCACGAAUGGCGUAAUGAUGGCCAGGCUGUCUCCACCCGAGACUCAGUGAAAUUGAACUCGCUGUGAAGAUGCAGUGUACCCGCGGCAAGACGGAAAGACCCCGUGAACCUUUACUAUAGCUUGACACUGAACAUUGAGCCUUGAUGUGUAGGAUAGGUGGGAGGCUUUGAAGUGUGGACGCCAGUCUGCAUGGAGCCGACCUUGAAAUACCACCCUUUAAUGUUUGAUGUUCUAACGUUGACCCGUAAUCCGGGUUGCGGACAGUGUCUGGUGGGUAGUUUGACUGGGGCGGUCUCCUCCUAAAGAGUAACGGAGGAGCACGAAGGUUGGCUAAUCCUGGUCGGACAUCAGGAGGUUAGUGCAAUGGCAUAAGCCAGCUUGACUGCGAGCGUGACGGCGCGAGCAGGUGCGAAAGCAGGUCAUAGUGAUCCGGUGGUUCUGAAUGGAAGGGCCAUCGCUCAACGGAUAAAAGGUACUCCGGGGAUAACAGGCUGAUACCGCCCAAGAGUUCAUAUCGACGGCGGUGUUUGGCACCUCGAUGUCGGCUCAUCACAUCCUGGGGCUGAAGUAGGUCCCAAGGGUAUGGCUGUUCGCCAUUUAAAGUGGUACGCGAGCUGGGUUUAGAACGUCGUGAGACAGUUCGGUCCCUAUCUGC
rnacentral:rRNA from 1 species